rnacentral:rRNA from 1 species
CAGGCUUAACACAUGCAAGUCGAGGGGCAGCAUGGUCUUAUCUUGCUAAGGCCGAUGGCGACCGGCGCACGGGUGAGUAACACGUAUCCAACCUGCCGUCUACUCUUGGACAGCCUUCUGAAAGGAAGAUUAAUACAAGAUGGCAUCAUGAGUCCGCAUGUUCACAUGAUUAAAGGUAUUCCGGUAGACGAUGGGGAUGCGUUCCAUUAGAUAGUAGGCGGGGUAACGGCCCACCUAGUCUUCGAUGGAUAGGGGUUCUGAGAGGAAGGUCCCCCACAUUGGAACUGAGACACGGUCCAAACUCCUACGGGAGGCAGCAGUGAGGAAUAUUGGUCAAUGGGCGAGAGCCUGAACCAGCCAAGUAGCGUGAAGGAUGACUGCCCUAUGGGUUGUAAACUUCUUUUAUGAAGGAAUAAAGUCGGGUAUGGAUACCCGUUUGCAUGUACUUUAUGAAUAAGGAUCGGCUAACUCCGUGCCAGCAGCCGCGGUAAUACGGAGGAUCCGAGCGUUAUCCGGAUUUAUUGGGUUUAAAGGGAGCGUAGAUGGAUGUUUAAGUCAGUUGUGAAAGUUUGCGGCUCAACCGUAAAAUUGCAGUUGAUACUGGAUAUCUUGAGUGCAGUUGAGGCAGGCGGAAUUCGUGGUGUAGCGGUGAAAUGCUUAGAUAUCACGAAGAACUCCGAUUGCGAAGGCAGCCUGCUAAGCUGCAACUGACAUUGAGGCUCGAAAGUGUGGGUAUCAAACAGGAUUAGAUACCCUGGUAGUCCACACGGUAAACGAUGAAUACUCGCUGUUUGCGAUAUACUGCAAGCGGCCAAGCGAAAGCGUUAAGUAUUCCACCUGGGGAGUACGCCGGCAACGGUGAAACUCAAAGGAAUUGACGGGGGCCCGCACAAGCGGAGGAACAUGUGGUUUAAUUCGAUGAUACGCGAGGAACCUUACCCGGGCUUAAAUUGCAGAUGAAUUACGGUGAAAGCCGUAAGCCGCAAGGCAUCUGUGAAGGUGCUGCAUGGUUGUCGUCAGCUCGUGCCGUGAGGUGUCGGCUUAAGUGCCAUAACGAGCGCAACCCUUGUUGUCAGUUACUAACAGGUUCCGCUGAGGACUCUGACAAGACUGCCAUCGUAAGAUGUGAGGAAGGUGGGGAUGACGUCAAAUCAGCACGGCCCUUACGUCCGGGGCUACACACGUGUUACAAUGGGGGGUACAGAGGGCCGCUACCACGCGAGUGGAUGCCAAUCCCCAAAACCUCUCUCAGUUCGGACUGGAGUCUGCAACCCGACUCCACGAAGCUGGAUUCGCUAGUAAUCGCGCAUCAGCCACGGCGCGGUGAAUACGUUCCCGGGCCUUGUACACACCGCCCGUCAAGCCAUGGGAGCCGGGGGUACCUGAAGUGCGUAACCGCGAGGAGCGCCCUAGGGUAAAACUGGUGACUGGGGCUAA